rnacentral:rRNA from 1 species
UACGUAGGGUGCAAGCGUUGUCCGGAAUUAUUGGGCGUAAAGAGCUCGUAGGCGGUCUGUCGCGUCUGCUGUGAAAACUCAGGGCUUAACCCUGAGCUUGCAGUGGGUACGGGCAGACUAGAGUGCGGUAGGGGAGACUGGAAUUCCUGGUGUAGCGGUGAAAUGCGCAGAUAUCAGGAGGAACACCGGUGGCGAAGGCGGGUCUCUGGGCAGUAACUGACGCUGAGGAGCGAAAGCGUGGGGAGCGAACAGGA